AAACUUAAAUGAAUUGACGGGACCCGCACAAGCGGUGGAUGAUGUGGUUUAAUUCGAUGCAACGCGAAAACCUUACCCACCUUUGACAUGUACGGAAUCCUUUAGAGAUAGAGGAGUGCUCGAAAGAGAGCCGUAACACAGGGUGCUGCAUGGCUGUCGUCAGCUCGUGUCGUGAGAUGUUGGGUUAAGUCCCGCAACGAGCGCAACCCUUGUCAUUAGUUGCUACGAAAGGGCACUCUAAUGAGACUGCCGGUGACAAACCGGAGGAAGGUGGGGAUGACGUCAAGUCCUCAUGGCCCUUAUAGGUGGGGCUACACACGUCAUACAAUGGCUGGUACAAAGGGUUGCCAACCCGCGAGGGGGAGCUAAUCCCAUAAAGCCAGUCGUAGUCCGGAUCGCAGUCUGCAACUCGACUGCGUGAAGUCGGAAUCGCUAGUAAUCGUGGAUCAGAAUGUCACGGUGAAUACGUUCCCGGGUCUU
rnacentral:rRNA from 1 species